rnacentral:rRNA from 1 species
UACAGGGGGGGCAAGCGUUGUUCGGAAUUACUGGGCGUAAAGGGCGCGUAGGCGGCCUUCUAAGUCGAACGUGAAAUCCCCGGGCUCAACCCGGGAACUGCGUCCGAGACUGGAAGGCUUGAAUCCGGGAGAGGGAUGUGGAAUUCCAGGUGUAGCGGUGAAAUGCGUAGAUAUCUGGAGGAACAUCGGUGGCGAAGGCGGCAUCCUGGACCGGUAUUGA